ACGGUCCGGGGAAAGGCUCCUGUGUGGCUGUGCCGGGCGCAGCCUCCUGUACCAGGCAGCCUCACCCUGACCUAGAGUAAAUCCCCGGGGACUGUGCCCUGGGUUUUGAAUUUGCAGUAACAGGUGUGAACAUUCUAGCAGCAGUUUGAUGGUCAUGUAUGAUACUGCAAACAGGA
ensembl:scaRNA